GCCGGGCGUGGUGGCACAUGCCUGUAAUCCCAGCUACUUGGGAGGCUGAGGCAGGAGAAUCACUUGAACCCGGGAGGUGGAGGUUGCAGUGAGCCGAGAUCGCGCCACUGCACUCUAGCCUGGGCAACAGAGUGAGACUCUGUCUCAG
rnacentral:SRP_RNA from 1 species